rnacentral:rRNA from 1 species
ACGACUCUCGGCAAUGGAUAUCUCGGCUCUCGCAUCGAUGAAGAACGUAGCGAAAUGCGAUACUUGGUGCGAAUUGCAGAAUCCCGUGAAUCAUCGAGUUUUUGAACGCAAGUUGCGCCCAAAGCCAUUAGGCUGAGGGCACGUCUGCCUGGGCGUCAC